rnacentral:rRNA from 1 species
UGGGGAAUAUUGCACAAUGGGCGCAAGCCUGAUGCAGCCAUGCCGCGUGUAUGAAGAAGGCCUUCGGGUUGUAAAGUACUUUCAGCGGGGAGGAAGGGAGUAAAGUUAAUACCUUUGCUCAUUGACGUUACCCGCAGAAGAAGCACCGGCUAACUCCGUGCCAGCAGCCGCGGUAAUACGGAGGGUGCAAGCGUUAAUCGGAAUUACUGGGCGUAAAGCGCACGCAGGCGGUUUGUUAAGUCAGAUGUGAAAUCCCCGGGCUCAACCUGGGAACUGCAUCUGAUACUGGCAAGCUUGAGUCUCGUAGAGGGGGGUAGAAUUCCAGGUGUAGCAGUGAAAUGCGUAGAGAUCUGGAGGAAUACCGGUGGCGAAGGCGGCCCCCUGGACAAAGACUGACGCUCAGGUGCGAAAGCGUGGGGAGCAAACAGG